UGCUGAAGUCAUCGCGACAAUAAAACUGUUUCUUCACCUCAGAGUCUUGCUCAUAAAAUCCAAGUACCCCAUUUUUCAUCUCCUCAAGAACAUGAACAGGUAUUCCUGUAAGAAAUUUUGAAGAACAAGACAUUGUAUCAAGCUGAACUUAGAGUAUGUAUAUGACCGGUAUGAAUUCAAGCAUUGGAGGUGAGUUAAAGACUGAGCAUAAUCAUAUUAGUCAAGAAAUCAGUUUUAAGACAGUUAUAAAGUUUUAUCUGAUUUUAGUUUUUGAAUUAAAGAGCAGUUAGAAGGAUAUGACAGUUUCUUGAUGGAAGAAACUGUCAUUGUAUAACUGGUCUAUAUAGUCAGAUUUGGUCCCUGCUGAUACACAAUCGUAUUCUCAUAAAAAGUCCCAUUAACUUAGAGAAUAAUAACGGUGGAAUCAGGAGAAGAUCAUCUUGACGACUUCAGUUCUUGUAACAAGAUAAAAAGGGUCAAGUGCGUUAACAAGUAGAUACAAGGUACUCCAAGCGCGCUAACCGAAGAUAAGACGAGCGCCAAGACGAACAUAGAUCAAGAUGGAUCACUCAAGUUAUUCAUGUAAGUUAUAUAAAUUCCAGAUUUCAGUAAGGAUAGAUAAUGUUGUUGCUAUCCCGAAAACACAGGAAGUUCAAGUUCAUGUAUUCAUUAUGAAAUAGAUUUCAUUAAGUAUCGAAUUCAGUUCUUUCAAUUGGUAUCAGAGCAAUCUAUCUUCAUGUGAAUUACAUGUUCUGUGUUUCUUUAGAAUCCUGGGAUCUUACCAAUAAUCCGCAUACAGUUUUUAUCAAGUAAAUUUCAAAAGUUAUCCCGAUGUGCAUAUGUGUGCAUAAUAUAAACUUGAUGUGAUACAAAUGAUCUCAUGUUGAAUCAAUGAAGCGCAUGACAUAUAUUUACCAGUAUCAAUAUAUCUGUUAUUUAUUUUUGAUUAAGUUACUGCAUAUAUACACUUACUGUGUUUUAGAACUACCAAAGUGCAUCAGGAUUUCAGGAAAUAUACUUUUAGAAUGUCUGCUAUAUAUUUCUGUGAUUUAUAUAGUUUGUGUGUUCUUGUAAAAGUUCAUGCAUUCUGCAGAUUUAGGAUUGAUACUCUAUGUGCAAUCCUAAAUGCAGUAGACUGGAUUCAAUAUCAUAAACUGAUAUCAUGACUUGAUCUGAUAUAGAUACAGUAAAUGUUCCCACAGUAGAAGUUUCAUUUAGAAUUAUGUGUUUUUUGGUAAUUAAUCCGCAUAUAGUUAUUUUAUUUUAGGUUUUGAAUGUAAGUAUGUAUAUAAAGUUGAAACCUGAACUGUUAAGGUGUCUAUAAUUCAAGUUUAGUUUUACAUCAUAUGUAUGAAUUGACUACAUUUACAUGCCAUAUAUAUUAAUGACAUGUUUUAAAUGAGAUUGCAUAAGAUGUCUAUAUGUAUGCACUCAAGAACUUAAAACUGAUCUGCUGUAUACAAAUUUUCUUAUUCAUAUGCCACCAAAGUGGGAAAUGGAAAAGAGAUUUUACAGAAAUAAGUAGAUCAUAAGGAUAAUAUUAGACAGAUUAAGUUUCACUUACUACAUGCUACCAAAGUAGCUUAGUACACCAGAAACUAUCUAUUCAUUUAGUCUAAUAUAUAUGUAGAGAUCACAUCAUAAAACUUAAAAUUAAUUGAUAUUAAUUUCCAAAGAAAUGUAUCAAGUAUUUAGUUUGUGAUUGUGCAUAUAACAGAACUUGGAACAUUCAGAUUUCACUAGAUAUGUGUACACCACAAAGGUAGUCAGAGUCUCGAAAGUGUUUGAGUUUUCAUAUUCUUUUAUAUGAUUUGGUAUGAAUGGUUAUUCAAAUCAUGAAUUUUCAUUCGUUUUGGGACAUUCAGAACAUUCUAGCUAGUAUCAUGAUACACUAGAAAUUUUAAACUGAUCAAUUUGAAGUGCAAUUUACCAUGAUCACAUUGAGGAGAAAGAUUCACCAGGAGCAUUGUUUACAGUUGCAAGGAUAGAAAGAAGCAAGAACAAGAGGCCAGCAAUUUUGUGUUAAGGAAAAUAUGGCUGAGAUUCAGUGGGAGACAAUUGAAUGUAUCUGUACCAGUGGUCAUAUGAGAAAAAGUUUCUAGCUACUCCAUCUUAAGGACAGGAAGGAAAUAGAAAAUUUCCAGGAUGAUGAAGUCAGUGAUUUCAAGUAAAUGGUUUAGUAAUAUUGAUAAGCAUCAGGAGCAAAUAAGUUGUUCAAUAAAAUGCUGAGCGAGACUUCUUCUCAUCGCCAAGAAAUGAUGAGUCUGGCUAUUUUGUAAUGAGCAACUAGAGGAUGCAGUUAAAGUUCAGUGUUGCAUUGUGCAAGACAUGUGUUUGAAAACGUGACAGAAUACAGUACAUUUCCUUGGACUUCUAUGUAUGAUCAGUGAAGUUGUGCAGUUUUGGGCUUAAAGAUGAAGUUCUAGUACUGUUUAACCAAGUGAGAACGGCUCAUGGUGUUUUCAGUGAAUUCACUGCUGCAACAGUUCCUAGAGUUUGUUGACGACAUGAUCACAGUCUUCUUUCAAGAUGUCAAGUUAUGAGGAUUUUUGAUAAAAUGCCAUAGAGAAAUCUCUGAGUUGGAAGUCAUUGUUUGGGAACAUGUUUUCAGAAUAGUUUACAGGAAGAAGGCCAGAAAAUUGUGUACUUUUAUGCAAAGGAUAAGAGAUUAUUUCAGAUUGGAUCAGACUGAAACUGCGUUGUUUUAGCAGUAUUGAAGCUUGGGGCUGCCGAUAAUUGCUCAAGCAAAAGGAUAAGGAUUUGGUUCUAAUAGUUCAAUUGUGAAAAGCGUUAUAUUUAAAAGUGAGGUCUGACUAAAGUGGUGAGUAUUUGAAAGACAUAUAAAGCGAGGAUGGCAUAAAGAUCUGACAGGACUUAUUAUAUUUACAAGGAUAUGUGUCAGUGGAGCCAUGAACAAAAUAGACCUUCAGAAGAAUAGAAAAGCAUGUCAGAGGAACAUAAAUCUCUCGAAGAAAACCGGAAAGAAGAUCAGAUCCACAGUCGAAGAAGACGAGGUCACCAUUGAAGUAAUAGGAUGUUAAUUUGAUCAAGUUGAAGCGACUUCAGUCCGAAUCAAGACAAGAAGGGAGUCGACUAUUACAGGUAGUACUAGGUCUACGUGGAUGCUGAUUUGUAUACAUGUAUGAUGCUAAUGUUUUCGUUGGCAAGGUUGGUAGUUUCAGGUAAGAUUGGUGGGCAGAUGUUUAAUGCAUACCAGGUGCUUGAUGAAAGAUCUGACCCAAAUCUAAGUUGUGAGGAUUACCUCAAAUGGAUAUGUAUAAGGAGGUUGAUGUAAUGGAAACAUUGACAGAGUUUUGGUAAUAUGAAGGUGAAGGGUGGCCACAAUGUAGGAUGAUGCGUAAUUGAGGACAUGGAAAUAUGCAUUAAGAAUGAUAAGGUACAGUGCUUCAGACCCUUGUUCUUAUUGCUAUUUUGACAUGUUUUCUUAUGAUUGUGCCAUCCUUGUUUAUCAUUGUAUAUAUACCACAUUGAAGCUAUACAGAUUCUACACAUUUCCCUUGCUUAGAUAAGAGUUCGACAAUUAUUGGUUCUGCUUUAGAGAUCAACAUGCAAGUUUGUAAUUCGUUGAUUGAGAUGCAUUAAAAUGUGAGUGGACAUUGGCUGCGCUAAGCAAGUUUGAUGAGGUAAUAUAAAGAUAUUUGUUUGGCAUGGAACUUGAUAAUUUCAGGAUAUGUAUGAAUAGACUGCUUAGAUUGACGGCCUGACUUUGUAAUUUGGAUGGUUGAGAGCACAGUAUUAUGAUACAGAAUAGGGCUAUCAAGUUUUGGGAAUCACCAAGCAGGUUUGGAGAUUUACAGGGAUACUAGCAUGGUCUUGUCUCCUCCCUGUAUUUUGGGCAUUUAUUAACUGAAGAAAAUUUAUAUGGUUAUGGAUUAAGCCAUUAAGGGAAUUAGAAACUCUAACAUCUGCAAUACCAAAAUUUCUAGUGGGAGAAGAAUUGAAGACUACUGUGAACGGUGUAUGUGAAAUAAUGCAGAUGAAGUGCAGAAUGAAAUAUUAGAGCAGUACAAGGAAUGCCAGAUAUAGUAGCACCAGAAAAUACAGAAAUACAAAGUUGCAGCGCCAACAUUAAGGUCUGGGAGAGAAAGGAAAUUUGGAAUCCCAGAUGACCUCUGUGGGAGACAAAGAAAGUUUCCAAUCCCAGAUAGUCAGCAUUAAGAAGGUCUGGGAGAAAAAGAAAGUCUGCAAUCCAAGAAUGGUAGUACCAGAAAGGUCUGGGAGAGAAGGAAGGUCUACGAUCCUAUAUGUCUACAGAAUAUUAAGGUCUGGGAGUGAAAGUAAGGCUGAAAUCCCAAUGACUUAUGUUUACCACAUCAUUUAAUCACGCAAUACAGUCAGUUAAUAGUGAUAAAUGGAUGGAAAGCAAGGCUAAAAAUGGAGUGUGGACUUCGGUGAAUAAAGUUGAUACAUGCAAACCUAUAGGCUGCAAAUGGGUUUUCAAGACCAAGCCAGAUGCAGAUGGGAAAUUGAAAGAUACAUUGCCAGGUUAGUUGCAUAUUUUGUUUUGGAAUUGUGAUCAGUUUGGGAAUUUGAUUUGUUUAGCUACUGCAUUGGAAUCAUUGUUUUGUUGAAUUGGAUGAACACGAUGCAUAAAAGAUCAAGUUAUAAAUAUUGCAGCAUAAGAAGUGCAGAUUUGGCCUGUUUGACUCUUUGGACAAGUGGGAGUUUGUGAACUCAGUGACACUAAGAGGAUGCAAUAGGGAUACAACUAUAGCAUUAUGAAGAACUCCAUGAGUGUGCCUAGUCACUGAAUGGUUCAGGAAUUGGUUCAUAUAUCUAAAGUUAAGAUGAAGUACUGUUCUGUAUUGAGAAUCGUUAUUUUGAGAAAGUUUUUGAUAUGACACCCCAAUGAGAUAUUGUGCCAUGGGCUACAGUGAUUACAAGGAAUGCAAAAGAUGAGAAAAUAUGAACAAGUUUUAGUAAGGAUCAAGGACAAUCAUGUAUGCCAAAUACAAUAUUAUUAUGGUCAGUAUUGCCUCACAGAUUUAGCAUGCAAAACUGCAAAAGAGGAAGAGGCAUCUACAUCUUAAGGGAGACAAAUUGCAAAAGGUCAGUAUUUAAGCAAAAUAAAGUGAACUAAUAGCAUUUGCUAUAUGCUUUGAUUUUAUUCCCUCAGGAUGGAUUAAACAUUGUAGUUCAUUCAUGUUCAUAUAUUUCAUGUAUUGUUUGCUGCAUAAUCAAGUUGUACAACUAUAGAUGCUGUUAAUGUAAUAGCAAUUUUGCAGUCAAAUGAUUCUCAAGUAUGAAAUAAUUUCAGUCUUCAAUUUUAUAUUGAAAUUUUGUUAGGGCCAUUUAUAUGCUUAUAUUGCAGAUGAUUACUUAAGUUUAAGCAUAUAUGUGUUACUGUGUUUUGGGGUAAUUCAUGUGGUUUUAUUUGCUGCAUUGUGAUCUUGGAAUGAUGGUGAUUUUCUAAUUCACCAAGCCAUCCUUAGGUUCAUUGUAGUUAAAUAUAGCUGACAGAAUUUUGAAACAGAUUAUUAAUGUGAAUUGAAUUCAAGUGCGCACACUACAGCUACUGUGUUAUAUAUGUAUAUGAGUUUUGAACAAUGUCUAGUUCAGUGGGAGAUUGUAAGAAAUUUUGAAGAACAAGACAUUAUAUCAAGCUGAACUUAGAGUAUGUAUAUGACCGGUAUGAAUUCAAGCAUUGGAGGUGAGUUAAAGACUGAGCAUAAUCAUAUUAGUCAAGAAAUCAGUUUUAAGACAGUUAUAAAGUUUUAUCUGAUUUUAGUUUUUGAAUUAAAGAGCAGUUAGAAGGAUAUGACAGUUUCUUGAUGGAAGAAACUGUCAUUGUAUAACUGGUCUAUAUAGUCAGAUUUGGUCCCUGCUGAUACACAAUCGUAUUCUCAUAAAAAGUCCCAUUAACUUAGAGAAUAAAAACGGUGGAAUCAGGAGAAGAUCAUCUUGACGACUUCAGUUCUUGUAACAAGAUAAAAAGGGUCAAGUGCGUCAACAAGUAGAUACAAGGUACUCCAAGCGCGCUAACCGAAGAUAAGAGGAGCGCCAAGAUGAACAUAGAUCAAGAUGGAUCACUCAAGUUAUUCAUGUAAGUUAUAUAAAUUCCAGAUUUCAGUAAGGAUAGAUAAUGUUGUUGCUAUCCCGAAAACACAGGAAGUUCAAGUUCAUGUAUUCAUUAUGAAAUAGAUUUCAUUAAGUAUCGAAUUCAGUUCUUUCAAUUCCAUGGUUGAUUAUCUGAAAGAAGCCCAACUCUUGAUGCUUCUCCAACUCUUGCAACAAUCUCCUUUUGUUUAGCUGGAUCGGAAAGGCCUCCGAGGUCAACGACUGGAAUGGUGAAUUGGUUUUCUUCUAUUUCAGAGGUAUUGAUGAUAUUGUACUGAUCUGGUGGAUGAUGAAAAAUUCGAGGAAUCUCGGUUAUGCCAGCAUCAACAAGGCCUUUGACACCCUCCUUUGUGUCAUCAAAAGCUUGUAGUUCACUUUUCCUGUCAUAAGUGGUUGCUGCAAUAUCCUUUGUGUUGGCUACCAUCUUGGUCAGUGGCAAGGUAAGAUGGUAGAUUUUUCAGAUCAGAUCUACAAAUCAGAAAUAUUCAUGCAUAAGAGACCACCAGAUAAGAUCAUUUAUAGUUUUAUACAAUUAUACAAAUCACAAGUAGCCAAAUAACCUCUCUUUUUUUUUCCAAAGUUUGAUGCUGGAUUUAUUUAUCAUUGUGGCGGCCAAAUGAUAGUGUUAGACCACAUAUCUAUAAGAUAGGCAGCCACUUAUUUUGAAUAUUUCUAGAAACAAAACAAGAAUGAUGAAAACAGCUGAUCAUACAUUUCACUGGAGAAUGAACUUCAGCUCAAUCCCAAAUAGUUUCGUUAGUAUAGAAUCAUGAGAAGUAAUGUUCCCUUGACUCCAAGUUCAGAACUUAAAAUGAUUGUCAACUGUCCACAAGGCCUUGGUUCCCUGUACUUUGGAGGCUAGGAUUUUCUUCUAAUGAAUCUAAUCAUAUAUUAUUGAUUUAAUUGUCCAUAUAUUUUUGCUAAUGUUUGAUUAAUAAAUUAAUUACCAAUAGGUCACAGCUCACCGGCAUGAAAACUACUUUUAACUGAUACCAUUUGUAAUGAUUUUGCAGAUGAAUUUGAUGCCUUAAUUAUGUAGCUGUUAUUGCUUAAGUUGAAUCUUACCAAAGACAAACCAAUAUAUAACAGCUGAGUUUACAUUUGUUGGACAUGUAUCUUCACCGUAGUGCUUAAAAGUUUUAUUUGCAUUUUCUACACAAAAGAAAUCUUGGCCAAACAUAGCAUGGAUUUCACUGCAUUAAUACUCCUCUUAGUCUCCAAGUUCAAAGCUCAAAAUGAGGCAACGCAGAGGUACCAUCGAGGCCUUUUUGAUUGAAGUAGGCAAAAUAGUCCCUAACAGUUGUCUCCCGUACUUUGGAGGAUUGUCUGCUGAUAAUAACUCCUUGAUCGGUCCAUAGAGUUUUGUUAAUGGCAGCAAUCCUGUGCAGAAAAAGCUUGCAACCGAUACUCGUGGACCUCUACGGUUUGCCAGUACUGUGUUCAACACUCUUGAAUCUGUCAUUGGAUAUAAGCUGAAACCACCAAAAGAAUUCUAUUCAGUAAAAAUAGAAAAUAUGUAACUGAAUCAAACUAAGAAUUUGAAACACCUCAACAAAAGCAUUCUAGAGAUACUCAAACGCAAUAACUAAGAAUGUACAUGUUUAGAAUCAUGAUGUAGCAGUAUCUUUCCAUGUUUUGGCCUAUAUUUGAUCCAUGUAGUUUGGGGAGUAUCUUUCUCUUUGGAACAGUCAUUACAAAUUCAUCAAAUUAAUUCCUGUAAUACUUAACAGUUGCAAUUAAGGUUAAAUCAGGUUUUGCCAAAUCAAUUCUGGGAAGGACUAUUUUGGUCCGGUAUGCUCAGCAGAAUUAGCCCUUCGCGUGCAUGUCAUUUGAGGAAAAUCAAAAUCAGUUUGGCCUUGAUGAAACCGUUAGCUGAGUACAGUUGACAGAAAGAAAAAAAAUUGAUCAAACAUUUCUGAAUAUUCAAGAAGAAUGAUGCUUAGACUUGCCUGCAGAAGAUCUCCAACAUUAACCACAAGAGCACCGGGCACAGGAGGUACAUCAAACCACUUGUUCUGGUGAAGGACUUGAAGGCCACCAAUAUGGUCUUGCAGAAGAACAGUAAGGAAGGCAUUAUCAGCAUGUUUGGUUGCGCCUAGAGUCAGUUCUGGCUGUGGACAAGGGGGAUAGUAAUGGCCUGCUAGCAGAAGCCCCUCGCUACAAUCUAUGUCAUUCAAGUGACUUGGCUUCAAUCCAAGAGCUUCAGACAACAACUCGAACAAUAGCUUACCCACCUUCAUUACUUGAUCUGAGUACUCUACAAGUAUGUCUCUACAAAGUGGAACAACAGAAACGCACAUGAAACGUACGUAUUGAUUCUAUGGUUGUUCAUGACAGAAAAUAAAAAGAAGUGUAUUAGAAAAUAUGGGAAACACUACUGUCAUGAAUUUACUAAUUUCAGAAAAUUACAGCAUAGAGUAUAUUGAAGAGCCCUUGUCACAUACCUGCAUACUUCUGGGAAGUCUUCUGGUUUAGUAGGAAUUGGAGCCAUGUAACAACUAAAAGUAUCUCUCCAAUUAGUCGCCGGUGCACUAUAUAGAUCAAAGUUGCUAUUGUAGAGCACAGGAUUCUUGAAAUGAUCGCGACUAUAAAGCUUCUUCUUCACCUCAGUGUCCUGCUCAAAAAACCGACGUACCCCAUUUUUUACCUCCUCAAGAACAUCAACAGGUAUUCCAUGGUUGACUAUCUGAAAGAAAGCCCCAAGUCUCUGAUGCCUCUCCAACUUUUGCAACAAUCUCCUUUUGUUUAGUUAAAUCCAAAAGGCCUUCAAGAUCAAUGACUGGAAUGCUAAAUUGGGAUUCUUCUGGAUCAUUGGAAUCAUGGAUGGAGUACUCAUCUGGUUGAUGAUGAAAAAUGCGAGGAACUUCAGUUACUCCAGCGUCAACAAGACCUUUAACACCUUCUUUUGUGUCAUCAAAAGCUUUCACUUCACUUUUCCUGUCAUAGUUUGUUGGAACCUCAUUUCUUUUGGUAGCUACCAUCUUGGUUUAUGGCGAAGUAAACUUAGUGAACCAGACACGAAAAUAUUAGUGAACCAGAAAAGAUACUGAUAGUCAGAUCUUAUCUCAACUGUAUGCAACUGAGCAGAGAAGAUCAUCAGUUUUAUAGUGACUGAUGAGGCUGCAAGUUGACUCUGUGGCGGCCAAAGAAUAGUACUGUCAACAAUUCAGUCUUUGACCUUUAUUGGCAAUUAGUUUGGUUCUAUAUAAGAAGUUGUAAACUUGUAAUCAAGAGAAGUAUAGAUCAAGCAGAACUAUUUUAUCUCGAACCAACUGUAAUGAAUUUGUUGUCUUUCUAGCUGUAGAUGCAGACAAGAAGUUAUAAUUAAGUGAAUUAUAGAUCAAGGAAAACGACUUCUAUCUCAAACUAACUGUACUGAUCUUUCUAUUGAAUCGUUGUCUUUCUGUUUUGUUCAUGUUUAUUAUGGUGGUGUUACUUACGACUUACUGAUGACAAUUCCCUAGUGUGAUAGGCAAAUGUGCAUUUUACUUGAAACUAAUUAACAGAUGCUUUGUAGUUCAAUUGUUGCAAUAACAUCUGUGUCGGUAGCUAUCACCUCGGUCUGCGACAAGGUAAGCUAGUAGAACUUUAAGAUUAUCCGAGGUGCCUCCAAGACACCAGAUAAGAUCAUUUUACAAUUACUGAAGUCAGAAAGGACGAACAAUACUUUUGCAACCAGAGAAACUCUAGCAAUCUUUCUCUUUCAAGUUGAUGAGUGCAAGAUUCAUUUUGAUUCUUGUGGCGGUUGAAUUAUAGUGAUAGAAUGUAUAUUCAAAGUGGACAACACUCUGUUAGAUAGGAGGUAGAAGCUGAAACAAAUCUUAUUUAAACAGCCAUCACAUGUUAAAUCUUUCUAUAAACAAAGAAAAAUGACAAUAACAAUCAUAGUUUACAUUUUAUUGGAAAUAUAAUUUCAUAUUAGUCCUUAAAGGUUUACUUUGGAUAUUUUUACACAAAAGAAGUGUUUAUAGUAUGGCACUUAUUAAUGCUCCUUUUCCAGAAUCAAACCUUGAAGUGAGACAAAGCAGAGGUACCAUCAAGGCCUUUCUCAUUGAAGUAUGCAACAUAAUCCCUAACAGUAGUCUCCCUGUACUUUGGAGGAUUUUCUUCGGAUAAUAACUCCUUUAUUGGUCCGUAGAGUUUUGGUAACGGCAACAUUCCAGUGCAGAAAAAGCUUGCAAUCGAUACUCUUGGACCUCUACGGUUUGCCAGUACCUUGUGUUCGACACUCUUGAAUCUGUCAUUUGAUAUAAGCUGAAACCACCAAAAGUAUUCUAUUUAGUAUAGUAACAGAAAUUAGGAAAAUCACUCGAGUUAAGAUUUUGAAACAAUCUAACAACAACAUGCUGCAUAGACUCAUAUGCAAAUAGCUGAAAAUGUUCGUGUGUGGAAUUAUUAUGUAACAGUAGUUCUACUCUAAAGCUACAAAUUUGGUUCAUGUAGUUUAGGAUAGCUUUGUAUCUGGGCAGUAAUUACAAAUUUAUCAAUUGAGCACUGUAAUUACGUGACGGUUGAAACUAGACCUCCAAAUGAAACUAUGGAUUCCCAGCAAAGAAUGCAGGGGAAAGACUAUUUCAGUGUUGGUUUGCUGCAGUGCUGCGUUGCAGCACUAGACAUGCAUAUCCAAGCCCAAAAUACUCCUCCGCAUACAUGCCAUUAUACGGAAAUUCUGAUCAAUUUGGAUGUAGUAAAGCCAUUAGUUCUCCAAUGUUAUCAGAAUGAAAUGACAGGAUUAAAAUUUACAAAAAAAAAAAAAAAAAAAAAAAAAAAAAACUAACAUUCUGCAAAAAAGAGAAGGUAAAACAAGAGUGGUUCUUAUACUUGCCUGCAGAAGAUCUCCAAUGUUAACCACAAGAGCCCCCGGCACGGGGGGUACAUCAAUCCACUUAUUCUGGUGAAGGACUUGAAGACCACCGAUAUGGUCUUGCAGAAGAACAGUAAGGAAGGCAUUAUCAGCGUGUUUGGUUGCGCCUAGAGUUAGUUCUGGCUGUGGACAAGGGGGAUAGUAAUGGCCUAAAAACAGAAUCCCCUCAGUGCAAUCUAUGUCAUUCAAGUAAGUUGGCUUCAAUCCAAGAGCUUCAGACAACAACUCGAACAAUAGCUUCCCCAACUUCAUUACUUGAUCUGAGUACUCAACAAGUAUGUCUCUACAAAGUGGAAACACAGAAAAGCACAUGAAAACGUGUCUACUCGAUUUCUAUGGUUAUUCUUGACAGAAAAUAAAAAAUAAAGUAUGGGAAAACACUACUGUCAUAAAGUUACUAAUUACAGCAUAAAAUAUAUUGAACCCUUGUCACAUACCUGCAUACUUCUGGCAAGUCUUCUGGUUUAGUAGGAGUAGGAGCCAUGUAACACAUAAAAGUAUCUCUCCAAUUAGUCGCCGGUGCACUAUACAGAUCAAAGUUGCUAUUGUAGAUCACAGGAUUCCUGAAGUGAUCUCGACCAUAAAGCUGCUUCUUCACCUCAGUGUCUUGCUCAAAAAACCGGCGUACCCCAUUUUUUACCUCCUCAAGAACAUCAACAGGUAUUCCAUGGUUGACUAUCUGAAAGAAGCCCCAUGUCUCUGAUGCCUCUCCGACUUUUGCAACAAUCUCCUUCUGUUUAGUUGAAUCAAGAAGGCCAUC
rnacentral:lncRNA from 1 species